rnacentral:piRNA from 1 species
UAAGAUGCUACACAGAUCUCCAGCUCUU